rnacentral:misc_RNA from 1 species
UUUCCGUAGGUGAACCUGCGGAAGGAUCAUUAAAAAUGAAGCCGGGAGACCGGUCCUUCUAACCCUUGAUUAUCUUAAUUUGUUGCUUUGGUGGGCCGCGCAAGCACCGGCUUCGGCUGGAUCGUGCCCGCCAGAGGACACAACUCUGUAUCAAAUGUCGUCUGAGUACUAUAAAAUAGUUAAAACUUUCAACAACGGAUCUCUUGGUUCUG